GACGGAGGGUGCUAGCGUUGUUCGGAAUCACUGGGCGUAAAGGGCGCGUAGGCGGCCUUGCAAGUCGGUUGGUGAAAGCCCGGGGCUCAACCCCCGGAGGUGCGGCCGAGACUGCAGGGCUGGAGGCCGGAAGAGGAGGGUGGAAUACCCAGUGUAGAGGUGAAAUUCGUAGAUAUUGGGUGGAACACCGGUGGCGAAAGCGGCUCUCUGGUCCGGACCUGGACGCUGAGGCGCGAAAGCGUGGGAGCAAACAGG
rnacentral:rRNA from 1 species